ensembl:miRNA
AAACGGAGCAUGAUUCAAACUCAUUGUGGAUGAGUGUGUUUGUUUCCUGCGCGCCUG